GGCGGGGUGGCAGAGUGUUUAUGCUAUGAGGGGUGCAACCUUCAUAUAGGCCGGUUAAAAUCCGCGCCCCCGCCU
rnacentral:tRNA from 1 species